rnacentral:rRNA from 1 species
AUUGAACGCUGGCGGCAUGCCUUACACAUGCAAGUCGAACGGCAGCACGGGUGCUUGCACCUGGUGGCGAGUGGCGAACGGGUGAGUAAUACAUCGGAACAUGUCCUGUAGUGGGGGAUAGCCCGGCGAAAGCCGGAUUAAUACCGCAUACGAUCUACGGAUGACAGCGGGGGACCUUCGGGCCUCGCGCUAUAGGGUUGGCCGAUGGCUGAUUAGCUAGUUGGUGGGGUAAAGGCCUACCAAGGCGACGAUCAGUAGCUGGUCUGAGAGGACGACCAGCCACACUGGGACUGAGACACGGCCCAGACUCCUACGGGAGGCAGCAGUGGGGAAUUUUGGACAAUGGGCGAAAGCCUGAUCCAGCAAUGCCGCGUGUGUGAAGAAGGCCUUCGGAUUGUAAAGCACUUUUGUCCGGAAAGAAAUCCUUGGCUCUAAUACAGUCGGGGGAUGACGGUACCGGAAGAAUAAGCACCGGCUAACUACGUG